CUUCAUGAGCUUUGUGAACUUGCAAAGCAAUUUACCCCGGAUGUGCUUUGUAUAGUAGAAACACAACUAGACAGAGUACGUGUCGAGAGUUUGAAAACGUCGCUUGGUUUUGAUAAUAGUUAUGUUGUAAGCAGCUCUGGUAGAAGUGGAGGCUUAGGUUUGUUUUGGAAUAAUGAAAUAAAGCUUAAUGUUCAAGGUUAUUCUAAGUAUCACAUUGAUGCACUCAUUGACACUACUAGGGAAAACCUUAUACACAGAAUCUUAGCAGCAGCGCGGCACAAAAAGAAGCGCUACUGCUAA
rnacentral:rRNA from 1 species